AGAGUUUGAUCAUGGCUCAGGACGAACGCUGGCGGCGUGCCUAAUACAUGCAAGUAGAACGCUAAAAGGAGAGCUUGCUCUUCUGGAAGAGUUGCGAACGGGUGAGUAACGCGUAGGUAACCUGCCUGGUAGCGGGGGAUAACUAUUGGAAACGAUAGCUAAUACCGCAUAAUAGAGGAUGACACAUGUUAUCUUUUUGAAAGAAGCAAGUGCUUCACUACCAGAUGGACCUGCGUUGUAUUAGCUAGUUGGUGGGGUAACGGCUCACCAAGGCGACGAUACAUAGCCGACCUGAGAGGGUGAUCGGCCACACUGGGACUGAGACACGGCCCAGACUCCUACGGGAGGCAGCAGUAGGGAAUCUUCGGCAAUGGGGGGAACCCUGACCGAGCAACGCCGCGUGAGUGAAGAAGGUUUUCGGAUCGUAAAGCUCUGUUGUAAGAGAAGAACGUUAGCGGGAGUGGAAAAUCCGCUAAGUGACGGUACCUUACCAGAAAGGGACGGCUAACUACGUGCCAGCCGCCGCGGUAAUAC
rnacentral:rRNA from 1 species